GGCGUUGGUAAAGUAUACAUUAGAUAGCUCAUUAGACACAAACAAGAAAGUCGCAUCAUAAAUUUUCUAUUAAAUAAGACAAACUAGAAAUUUGCUGUAGCACCAUUUCAUAACAGGGGACCAUGACCAUAUUUUUAUUUGAAACCGUGCCGCUAUGUCAAACACAAAAGAUGUAACCAAGCAUCACCUUCAAUUCCUUAUAUAUGCAUUUUAGGCGAUGGAAUUCUUUUUGAGACCAUCACGUCAAGAUGAAACACAUAAAUAAGCAUGACAUUUAAUAUGUAAUUUUAGCAUACCUCAGCUUCAGCCUUUUGAAGGUCUGAACACCUCUUUUCAAGCCUCUGCUUGUACAGCAACCCUGUCUUUUUAAGUUUGAUAGCUUCCUGAAUGAGAGAACUCAAUUGAGAGCUCAAAG
rnacentral:misc_RNA from 1 species